UGCCUGUUUAUUUUUAGCUGUGUUAUUUAGCUGUGUUAAAAACAAAAAGGAGUGGUUUUGAGAUUUUUAGAUCACAACAAAAACAAAUGACAACUCAGAUUGAUCUAAGUAACAUUGUAAUAAACCUCAGCUCUGAAAGGUGGUUGGAGUAUAGUGGAUUUGUAAUGGAGGAAGGUUUCAUUCACACUAAACACUCACAUAUACAAGUACACACUUGUACAUCGAGGGUGGCAGAACCAGAAAUACAUUUAAGAUGUUAUAAAUUGUUCUGAUAUACAAUCUCUUAACUGAAUAUUGUUUCAAACCAGGGCAGUUUGUUCCAACUGAAAAUCUAGAAGCCUAAGGCACAAUAAUUAACGUGUGCAAAAAUAUCUAUCAAAAAGUUCAAAUAUAAAAACAUUUUUCUUUUUAAAGACUAAAACGGUACAAUUUAAAUAAAGCAUAUCAACAAAAGAAAAUAGCCCUCAUAAGUGUCUGGCGUAAAUUUAAGAACACGGUGUGAGGGUGCGAGUUUUAAAAGGUUCUAAGUGGAAGGAAAGAAAAGGGGAGGGAGAAAGGGAGGGGAAGGGAGGAAGGGGAAGAGAGGGAGCACUCCCAGUGGAUUGCCAUACAAGGAGAGGAAACAAGCUCAGGUUAGGUUGAGUCAUACACAGGCACACGCUAACAUUGAGAAAACAUAACGACCCACACAUCAUCCUACACAUGCAGUACGUACUCAGCCUUGUACACACAGUUUUGUACAAACCAACACACCCACUCCCUAAAAAUGUACACCAACUGCUUAUAAAAGCCGCACAUACACAUUCAACAGACUAUAUAUAAGGCAACUCAAACAAAAAUUCAUGUUUUUAGUUUUUACAACUUACCACUGACCAUGGCCUGACCAUGGCAUAAGAUAAAUCAUAACCUUGGCGUCAAGCACUAUUUCUAAUUAACAGCACAUCAAGGAAAUCUUUAUCAGUAGAUUUGUUAAGAACAGUACUGUGGUAGGUGCUGAGAAACCAAUGAGCCGUGGUUAAACAGAUUUGUUAAGAACAGUACUGUGGUAGGUGCUGAGAAACCAAUGAUCUGUGGUUAAACAGAUUUGUUAAGAACAGUACUGUGGUAGGUGCUGAGAAACCAAUGAGCCGUGGUUAAACAGAUUUGUUAAGAACAGUACUGUGGUAGGUGCUGAGAAACCAAUGACCCGUGGUUAAACAGAUUUGUUAAGAACAGUACUGUGGUAGGUGCUGAGAAACCAAUGACCCGUGGUUAAACAGAUUUGUUAAGAACAGUACUGUGGUAGGUGCUGAGAAACCAAUGACCCGUGGUUAAACAGAUUUGUUAAGAACAGUACUGUGGUAGGUGCUGAGAAACCAAUGACCCGUGGUUAAACAGAUUUGUUAAGAACAGUACUGUGGUAGGUGCUGAGAAACCAAUGACCCGUGGUUAAACAGAUUUGUUAAGAACAGUACUGUGGUAGGUGCUGAGAAACCAAUGACCCGUGGUUAAACAGAUUUGUUAAGAACAGUACUGUGGUAGGUGCUGAGAAACCAAUGAUCUGUGGUUAAACAGAUUUGUUAAGAACAGUACUGUGGUAGGUGCUGAGAAACCAAUGAUCUGUGGUUAAACAGAUUUGUUAAGAACAGUACUGUGGUAGGUGCUGAGAAACCAAUGACCCGUGGUUAAACAGAUUUGUUAAGAACAGUACUGUGGUAGGUGCUGAGAAACCAAUGACCCGUGGUUAAACAGAUUUGUUAAGAACAGUACUGUGGUAGGUGCUGAGAAACCAAUGAGCCGUGGUUAAACAGAUUUGUUAAGAACAGUACUGUGGUAGGUGCUGAGAAACCAAUGACCCGUGGUUAAACAGAUUUGUUAAGAACAGUACUGUGGUAGGUGCUGAGAAACCAAUGACCCGUGGUUAAACAGAUUUGUUAAGAACAGUACUGUGGUAGGUGCUGAGAAACCAAUGAGCCGUGGUUAAACAGAUUUGUUAAGAACAGUACUGUGGUAGGUGCUGAGAAACCAAUGACCCGUGGUUAAACAGAUUUGUUAAGAACAGUACUGUGGUAGGUGCUGAGAAACCAAUGACCCGUGGUUAAACAGAUUUGUUAAGAACAGUACUGUGGUAGGUGCUGAGAAACCAAUGACCCGUGGUUAAACAGAUUUGUUAAGAACAGUACUGUGGUAGGUGCUGAGAAACCAAUGACCCGUGGUUAAACAGAUUUGUUAAGAACAGUACUGUGGUAGGUGCUGAGAAACCAAUGACCCGUGGUUAAACAGAUUUGUUAAGAACAGUACUGUGGUAGGUGCUGAGAAACCAAUGACCCGUGGUUAAACAGAUUUGUUAAGAACAGUACUGUGGUAGGUGCUGAGAAACCAAUGACCCGUGGUUAAACAGAU